AAUACAUAGGUACCUACAAAAACCUCAUUUUAUGUUUUCAAUUUUUAGGCACAAAGGAGCCUGCACAGGCCUUGAGAGAAAAAACAACCCUUGGUUAUAUUGAUGCUGGUGUUGCUUCAACAUGAAGUCAUAAUACAUGGAGAGUGGUAAGGAGGAAGAUAAGUAGGGAAUGUGAUGCUGUGUUGUUGAUUUAAUCAGGAAUGGAUUUUUUUCUCCAACUUAAAUGAAUGACUAGC